GUCUACAGCCAUGCCACCCUGAACAUACCCGAUCUCAUCUGAUCUCAGAAGCUAAGCAGGGUUGGGCCUGGUUAGUACUUGGAUGAGAGACCACCUAGGAAUAUCAGGUGCUGUAGGCU
rfam:Pteropus alecto contig32791, whole genome shotgun sequence.